UCCCCGAUAGCUCAAUGGUAGAGCAUCUGACUGUUAAUCAGAGGGUUCCUGGUUCGAGUCCAGGUCGGGGAGCCA
rnacentral:tRNA from 1 species